CACAGAAUGGGUACAGGAGGCUAGGAGUUCGAUUUUAACUAUAAAGUGUCCAGGUGAGGCUCAGGCCACAGUUUGUUCAAGAAGGAAGUGAGACUGUGUGUCUCUCCUCAGCCAGAAACCACCAGGCAACCUCUCAGCUGCCAAAAUAGAACCCCAUCGAGACUUCAGCUGAAGUUCAUCAAGUUCAGCACAAGUGUGUCAGCACACACUCACGCUGGGCCAGCAUCAUGGAAGUGGUCUAUGCAACUUGUGAUGGAUGGAUGGAUGGAUGGAUGGAUCAGUGGGUGAAAUGAGGUUUGGAUUUUCCUUAACACUGAUGAGCGAUGCAAUCUGUUUUUGGAUCUGGUUCUCCUCAGAGCAACUGCUUGUGGCCCUCUGGCACUACAUUUGGCCUUUGCUGAUGAUGUCAUGGAAAGUACAUGUACAAUGACUAAAGGCUAAAGUCUGCUUUCAAAUGUGAGGAGUAACCAUGGUGAUUGGAGGCAACGUGGAGGGACCAGCUGACAUCCUGUCGUUUGGUUGCAGCACACAGAGGGGACCUUGCAGUUUAUUGUUUGGUGGCCUGGUUGAACGAGAGUUCAGUGUGUAUGAGGGGAGGGCACUCGACAUGAGCCGAAGUCAGUACACAGCUUGACAUGACGCACUUUCAAGUAUGAUGUUAAAAGGACAUCAGUGCAUUUAAACGGUGCAUUGCAUAGUAGGAAUUCUGAACAUUUUAGUUAAUCUGUCUCACGCUAUGCAUAUAACUUGAGCGAAUGCUUAAGUAAAAAGCUUUGAUUGUUACCGACCUUUGACCCUUAAACACAGUGCGUUUUUUGAAGUCUGUUAACGCAUCAUGAGGUUGUAAAGGUGACAAUAUGGAAAGCACAUAUAGAGCGAAUUCAGCUUGGUGCGUGUGCACAGUUCAGAAGUUUUUAUUCACAGUGGAUUUAUCUACAUCAUAAAUUAUCUUUGAUGUAACACUUAUCAAAUGUCAUUUAAUUUAGUCAUUUUUUAGUGCUGGGAAAGUCUGAUUGAACCUGUAAUUUUCUAAAUGUCAUCUUCUUUUCAGCACUCAGUUUUAUUCUGCUUCAGUUUCCCCACCUGUUAUCAAAAGAUCACAAAUAGCAAUUUUCCUGCAAAAAUGUCUGUUUAUGAUAAUUUGAUCUCACCAUACAAACAUUGUACUGCCCAAAAUGUAUUGCAUCCUUUUAGUCAUCAUUUUAAAUGCUUUAAGGAAUAGUUCAUCCAGAAAUUAAAUGUGAAUUGCUGCGCCUGUCACCAUACUGCAAUAUGUGAUGGUAAAGCAUUAAAAGGCUUUUGUAUUAAAGGGAUAGUUCAACCAAAAAUGAAAAUUCUGUCAUCAUUUACUCCACCUCAAGUUGUU